UAGUCAUAUGCUUGUCUCAAAGAUUAAGCCAUGCAUGUCUAAGUACAUACUUUUGCACGGUGAAACCGCGAAUGGCUCAUUAAAUCAGUUAUGGUUUCUUAGAUCGUUUCUUUUACAUGGAUAACUGUGGUAAUUCUAGAGCUAAUACAUGCAAAAAGCUCCGACCGUAUGGGAAGAGCGCUUUUAUUAGACCAAAACCAAUGGGGUCGCAAGAUCCCUUUGUUUGGUGACUCUGGAUAACUUUGUGCUGAUCGCAUGGCCUAGAGCCGGCGACGUAUCCUUCAAGUGUCUGCCCUAUCAACUUUCGAUGGUAAGCGAUUUGCCUACCAUGGUUGUAACGGGUAACGGGGAAUCAGGGUUCGAUUCCGGAGAGGGAGCAUGAGAAAUGGCUACCACAUCUACGGAAGGCAGCAGGCGCGCAAAUUACCCACUCCUAGAACGGGCAGGUAGUGACGAAAAAUAACAAUACCGGACUCUAAGAGGCUCGGUAAUUGAAAUGAGUACAGUUUAAAACCCUUAACGAGGAUCUAUU
rnacentral:rRNA from 1 species